UGAUCAUCCACACUGGAGCUGAUACACGGUCCAGACUCCUACGGGAGGCAGCAGUGGGGAAUUUUCCUCAAUGGGGGAAAGCCUGACGGACCAAGACCGCGUGAGGGAUGAAGGCUGUUGGGUUGUUGACCUCUUUUGUCAGGGAAGAAGAAAGUGACGGUACCUGACGAAUCAGCCUCGGCUAACUCCGUGCCAGCAGCCGCGGUAAUACGGAG
rnacentral:rRNA from 1 species